rnacentral:rRNA from 1 species
AGUGAAGAAGGCCUUCGGGUUGUAAAGCUCUUUCAGCCGGAAAGAAAUCGCGCAGGAUAAUACUCUGCGUGGAUGACGGUACCGGAAGAAGAAGCACCGGCUAACUACGUGCCAGCAGCCGCGGUAAUACGUAGGGUGCGAGCGUUAAUCGGAAUUACUGGGCGUAAAGCGUGCGCAGGCGGUUAUGUAAGACAGAUGUGAAAUCCCCGGGCUCAACCUGGGAACUGCGUUUGUGACUGCAUAACUAGAGUACGGCAGAGGGAGGUGGAAUUCCGCGUGUAGCAGUGAAAUGCGUAGAUAUGCGGAGGAACACCGAUGGCGAAGGCAGCCUCCUGGGCCAGUACUGACGCUCAUGCACGAAAGCGUGGGGAGCAAACAGGAUUAGAUACCCUGGUAGUCCACGCCCUAAACGAUGUCAACUAGUUGUUCGGUGAGGAGACUCAUUGAGUAACGCAGCUAACGCGUGAAGUUGACCGCCUGGGGAGUACGGCCGCAAGGUUAAAAACUCAAAGGAAUUGACGGGG